UACAGAGGUCUCAAGCGUUGUUCGGAUUCAUUGGGCGUAAAGGGUGCGUAGGUGGCGCGCUAAGUCAGGUGUGAAAUUUCGGAGCUUAACUCCGAAACUGCAUUUGAUACUGGCGUGCUUGAGGACUGGAGAGGAGACUGGAAUUCAUGGUGUAGCAGUGAAAUGCGUAGAGAUCAUAAGGAAGACCAGUGGCGAAGGCGGGUCUCUGGACAGUUCCUGACACUGAGGCACGAAGGCCAGGGGAGCAAACGGG
rnacentral:rRNA from 1 species